AGCGAACGCUGGCGGCAGGCCUAACACAUGCGAGUCGAACGAACCUUUCGGGGUUAGUGGCGGACGGGUGAGUAACACGUGGGAACGUGCCUUUAGGUUCGGAAUAACUCAGGGAAACUUGUGCUAAUACCGAAUGUGCCCUUCGGGGGAAAGAUUAAUCGCCUUUAGAGCGGCCCGCGUCUGAUUAGCUAGUUGGUUGAGGUAAUGGCUCACCAAGGCGACGAUCAGUAGCUGGUCUGAGAGGAUGAUCAGCCACAUUGGGACUGAGACACGGCCCAAACUCCUACGGGAGGCAGCAGUGGGGAAUCUUGCGCAAUGGGCGAAAGCCUGACGCAGCCAUGCCGCGUGAAUGAUGAAGGUCUUAGGAUUGUAAAAUUCUUUCACCGGGGACGAUAAUGACGGUAACCGGAGAAGAAGCCCCGGCUAACUUCGUG
rnacentral:rRNA from 1 species